GACGAACCGUGCGACCGUUAUUCGGAAUCACUGGGCUUAAAGGGCGCGUAGGCGGGCUCGCAGGUCAGGGGUGAAAGCCCACGGCUCAACCGUGGAAGUGCCUUUGAUACCGUGAGUCUCGAGGGAGGUAGGGGCGUGCGGAACUUCCGGUGGAGCGGUGAAAUGCGUAGAUAUCGGAAGGAACAUCGGUGGCGAAAGCGGCGCGCUGGACCUCUUCUGACGCUGAGGCGCGAAAGCCAGGGGAGCAAACGGG
rnacentral:rRNA from 1 species